UUUCCAAUUUAUUAGAAUUUAAAUUUUCAAAAUAGUUCCUAAUGAUCCUCUGGAUUUCAGUUUUGUCUGUUGUAUUUGUCUCUAAUUAUAUUAAUUAGGGUCUUCUCUCUCUUUUGCUUAGUUUGACCACAGGUUUAUCAACCUUGGUUUUUAUCUUACCUUUUCAAAGAACCAACUCUUUGUUUCAUUGGUCCUUAGUGUUGUUCUUUUAUACUCUAAUUAAUUUACCAGGUGGUCAAGUUUGUAAGGAUUCUGGCUGUGGAUAUGUACAAGGCAGCAUUCCUCUGGUGAGAAAACUCUUGGAGGGUAACAGGGGCUCUGUUAUCUACAUUUGGAUAUUCUACAGUUUCUCCCUGGAACUAGUAAGAUGACUAAUACAUGCUCAGUGCCUAGCUGCUAUGGUAAUGUCCUUUGGGAGGAGGCUCUGUACUAGAGUCUUAUCAGUCUCAACCUUAAUCUCAAACACUCAGCUUCUGGGAAUAAAGGAACUCUCUUAGACAACACCAAUGUGUCACUGCACCUAAAUCUGCCCACAGAACAGUAACUUUAUACAAUGAGCAAUAUGUACUAAUGACAUCAAUGAUCUAAUGAAACCUAUGGAUAUAGAUAAAGCUGGCAGCUCAGAUGAACAGCCCUUUUUAUUUUGCCCCUGUUCCUUGCUUGCUUCU
rnacentral:lncRNA from 1 species